UUCAUUUAAGCUGGACCAUCUUAUUCCAUUCACUUCUUAUGAAAUCAAAGUAAAUGUGACUUACGACCAAUCUUACUGCAGUUCAUAUUCUGAUGUAGUUGUUGGUAGGACAGAUCCAGUAGCACCAUCUCCUCCAAGACAGAUCAGACUUCUCUCUGUACUGGCAACUAGCAUUGUGCUGACAUGGAAGGUACCUUCUUAUGUCAAUGGAUCUAACCUCACAUAUUAUAUCAAUUAUUUCAAACUCGAUAGUAGUACUAUUGUAACUUCAGAGACCAGCACACAACCAACUACUACUUUGGUUGAUCUUACACCCUAUACUAAAUAUAAAGUCAUAAUUCAAGCUGCUACAUAUGCCCAAAUCAAUGUCAGCUCUUCAAUUCGGCUGAGAAGUAACAAAGCUGAAAUAUCAUUUCAAACUCGUCAAGCAAAACCAAAUCCUCCAACUAAUGUGCAAGUUGACACAGUGUCUGCUGACUCGGUUGUGAUCAAGUGGCAGCGUC